ACAUGCAAGUCGAACGCAGAGAUGUAGCAAUACGUUUCUGAGUGGCGAAUGGGUGCGUAACACGUAGGUGACCUGCCCAGAAGUGUGGAAUAACAGUCCGAAAGGACUGCUAAUACCGCAUGUGGCGCGCGGGGUUAGAGGCCCGCACGCGAAAGGUCUGCAAAGAUCGCUUCUGGAGGGGCCUGCGGCCCAUCAGCUAGUUGGUAGGGUAAUGGCCUACCAAGGCAACGACGGGUAGGGGACCUCAGAGGGUGGCCCCCCACACUGGCACUGACACACGGGCCAGACUCCUACGGGAGGCAGCAGUCGGGAAUAUUGCCCAAUGGUCGCAAGACUGAGGCAGCAACGCCGCGUGCGCGAUGAAGGCCUUCGGGUCGUAAAGCGCUUUUCAGUGGGAUGAGGAAGGACAGUACCACUGGAAUAAGGGACGGCUAACUACGUGCCAGCAGCCGCGGUAAAACGUAGGUCCCGAGCGUUAUCCGGAUUUACUGGGCGUAAAGCGUGUUCAGGCGGUCUAGCAAGUCGGGCAUGAAAUCUCUCGGCUCAACCGGGAGGGGUUGUCCGAUACUGCUGGGCU
rnacentral:rRNA from 1 species